AGGCAUGGGCGCGGCUAUAAUGCAGUCGACGCUUUGUGGUUCAACUGAUUUGAAGAGCUUGCUCAGAUAUGACGAUGGACAUUGCAAAGAGUGGCGAACGGGUGAGUAACACGUGGGAAACCUACCUCUUAGCAGGGGAUAACAUUUGGAAACAGAUGCUAAUACCGUAUAACAAUGACAACCGCAUGGUUGUUAUUUAAAAGAUGGUUCUGCUAUCACUAAGAGAUGGUCCCGCGGUGCAUUAGCUAGUUGGUAAGGUAAUGGCUUACCAAGGCGAUGAUGCAUAGCCGAGUUGAGAGACUGAUCGGCCACAAUGGGACUGAGACACGGCCCAUACUCCUACGGGAGGCAGCAGUAGGGAAUCUUCCACAAUGGGCGAAAGCCUGAUGGAGCAACGCCGCGUGUGUGAUGAAGGGUUUCGGCUCGUAAAACACUGUUGUAAGAGAAGAAUGACAUUGAGAGUAACUGUUCAAUGUGUGACGGUAUCUUACCAGAAAGGAACGGCUAAAUACGUGCCAGCAGCCGCGGUAAUACGUAUGUUCCAAGCGUUAUCCGGAUUUAUUGGGCGUAAAGCGAGCGCAGACGGUUAUUUAAGUCUGAAGUGAAAGCCCUCAGCUCAACUGAGGAAUUGCUUUGGAAACUGGAUGACUUGAGUGCAGUAGAGGAAAGUGGAACUCCAUGUGUAGCGGUGAAAUGCGUAGAUAUAUGGAAGAACACCAGUGGCGAAGGCGGCUUUCUGGACUGUAACUGACGUUGAGGCUCGAAAGUGUGGGUAGCAAACAGGAUUAGAUACCCUGGUAGUCCACACCGUAAACGAUGAGUGCUAGGUGUUUGAGGGUUUCCGCCCUUAAGUGCCGCAGCUAACGCAUUAAGCACUCCGCCUGGGGAGUACGACCGCAAGGUUGAAACUCAAAGGAAUUGACGGGGACCCGCACAAGCGGUGGAGCAUGUGGUUUAAUUCGAAGCAACGCGAAGAACCUUACCAGGUCUUGACAUCCCUUGACAACUCCAGAGAUGGAGCGUUCCCUUCGGGGACAAGGUGACAGGUGGUGCAUGGUUGUCGUCAGCUCGUGUCGUGAGAUGUUGGGUUAAGUCCCGCAACGAGCGCAACCCUUAUUACUAGUUGCCAGCAUUCAGUUGGGCACUCUAGUGAGACUGCCGGUGACAAACCGGAGGAAGGUGGGGAUGACGUCAAAUCAUCAUGCCCCUUAUGACCUGGGCUACACACGUGCUACAAUGGCGUAUACAACGAGUUGCCAACCCGCGAGGGUGAGCUAAUCUCUUAAAGUACGUCUCAGUUCGGAUUGUAGGCUGCAACUCGCCUACAUGAAGUCGGAAUCGCUAGUAAUCGCGGAUCAGCACGCCGCGGUGAAUACGUUCCCGGGUCUUGUACACACCGCCCGUCACACCAUGAGAGUUUGUAACACCCAAAGCCGGUGGGGUAACCUUCGGGAGCCAGCCGUCUAAGGUGACAGAGAUGG
rnacentral:rRNA from 1 species